rnacentral:rRNA from 1 species
UACGUGGGGGGUAAGCGUUGUUCGGAAUUACUGGGCGUAAAGGGCUCGUAGGCGGCCAACUAAGUCAUACGUGAAAUCCCUCAGCUUAACUGGGGAACUGCGUGUGAUACUGGAUGGCUUGGAUUUGGGAGAGGGAUGCGGAAUUCCAGGUGUAGCGGUGAAAUGCGUAGAUAUCUGGAGGAACACCGGUGGCGAAGGCGGCAUCCUGGACCAAUAUUGACGCUGAGGAGCGAAAGCCAGGGGAGCAAACGGG